rnacentral:rRNA from 1 species
AGCAUAUCAAUAAGCGGAGGAAAAGAAACCAACAGGGAUUGCCCUAGUAACGGCGAGUGAAGCGGCAACAGCUCAAAUUUGAAAUCUGGCGCAAGCCCGAGUUGUAAUUUGUAGAGGAUGUUUCUGGCGACGUGCCUUCCGAGUUCCCUGGAACGGGACGCCAUAGAGGGUGAGAGCCCCGUACGGUUGGAUGCCUAGCCUCUGUGAAACUCCUUCGACGAGUCGAGUAGUUUGGGAAUGCUGCUCUAAAUGGGAGGUAUACGUCUUCUAAAGCUAAAUACCGGCCAGAGACCGAUAGCGCACAAGUAGAGUGAUCGAAAGAUGAAAAGCACUUUGAAAAGAGGGUUAAAAAGUACGUGAAAUUGUUGAAAGGGAAGCGUUCAUGACCAGACUUGGGCAGGUUGAUCAUCCGUGGUUCUCCGCGGUGCACUCUGCCUGCCCAGGCCAGCAUCAGUUCGCCCCGGGGGAUAAAGGUUUCGGGAAUGUGGCUCCUCCGGGAGUGUUAUAGCCCGUUGCGUAAUACCCUGGGACGGACUGAGGUUCGCGCUCUGCAAGGAUGCUGGCGUAAUGGUCAUCAACGACCCGUCUUGAAACACGGACCAAGGAGUCGUCUUCGUAUGCGAGUGUUCGGGUGUCAAACCCCUACGCGUAAUGAAAGUGAACGUAGGAGAGAGCUUCGGCGCAUCUCCGACCGAUCCUGAUGUUCUCGGAUGGAUUUGAGUAAGAGCAUACGGGGCCGGACCCGAAAGAAGGUGAACUAUGCCUGUAUAGGGUGAAGCCAGAGGAAACUCUGGUGGAGGCUCGCAGCGGUUCUGACGUGCAAAUCGAUCGUCAAAUAUGGGCAUGGGGGCGAAAGACUAAUCGAACCUUCUAGUAGCUGGUUUCCGCCG